GGAGCUCAGUGGCAGAGUAUCUGCUUUUCAUGCAGAAGGUCCCAGGUUCAAUCCUCAGCUUCUUCA